AUCGAACGCUGGCGGCAUGCCUUACACAUGCAAGUCGAACGGUAACAGGUCUUCGGAUGCUGACGAGUGGCGAACGGGUGAGUAAUACAUCGGAACGUGCCCGAUCGUGAGGGAUAACGAGGCGAAAGCUUUGCUAAUACCGCAUACGAUCUACGGAUGAAAGCGGGGGAUCUUCGGACCUCGCGCGGACGGAGCGGCCGAUGGCAGAUUAGGUAGUUGGUGGGAUAAAAGCUUACCAAGCCGACGAUCUGUAGCUGGUCUGAGAGGAUGAUCAGCCACACUGGGACUGAGACACGGCCCAGACUCCUACGGGAGGCAGCAGUGGGGAAUUUUGGACAAUGGGCGAAAGCCUGAUCCAGCCAUGCCGCGUGCAGGAUGAAGGCCUUCGGGUUGUAAACUGCUUUUGUACGGAACGAAAAGCCUCUUUCUAAUAAAGAGAGGUCAUGACGGUACCGUAAGAAUAAGCACCGGCUAACUACGUG
rnacentral:rRNA from 1 species